GGAAAAAACUCGCUCUUCGCCGACUUCUCGACCUUAUCAGCAGCAGCACCGGUUCCGAAAAUGGAAAACCUAGAUCCAAACAUUGGCCUCUGCUUGAGAUGCCACUUUUUCACUUCCUAUAAGUCUCCUUUGAGAGUUUCAGGGGAACUCACGCCGCUGUUCGUGGGUUCGAAAGCUGCCGUCCCACGUUAUGGAAUAGACGUUGGAGCCCUCGAGUCGCCGUGGG
rnacentral:misc_RNA from 1 species